ACUGACUUCAAGAUUUUAAUUUCAAAAUCUCCCUCGAACUCUCUCGGGACUCGGGAGCGCAUUCUCUCUUUCGCCAUUUUCUUCCGUGGGCUGUGGCGAAAGCGAAAUAAGGCGAGCUAAACGAAACAAGCGAAGCAAGCAGCAAGAGAAGAUCGGUAGUAGAAGGUAACGAAAUAGAGACUUAGAGAGACAUCAGAAGCGAAAUUCGGCGAUAAUAAGAUCAGGUUCCCGUGAGGCUGAUCUGAGAGGAGUAUGAUUAACAAUUGCUUAAGAGUUAUGGAUAUGGAGAGGCUUGAUUGAUUAAGCUCAUACAGGAUGGCUGACAAUUAAAGGAUUUAGCCGCAAACUUUUCCAGCACUGAGACUGACACUGAUGACUUUGUGGCAGUCCUGGACGAGUUGUUGGACGGUGAAGCAAAGAAAAGGGCAAAAAAGUUCCACUCAUGGGAACCAAUGAAUGUGUUGAAGAGGCAUGUAUGUAGAGAUGAAGGAUCUUUCGAAGGCACGUGUUGUGUUUGUGGGCAGAGGUUGGAAAAGGAUUUGGGUGUGCCAUUGGGGUAUGUACACAAGGGUCUAAGGCUUGGAAACAAUUGUAAUUGUAGGGUCUAAGGCUUGGAAACAAUGAUGUCGUUAGAUUGCGAACCCAGGACAUGAAAAAUUUAUCACGAAAUGAAAAAGCUUUACUUGGUACUCGACCUUGAUCAUACACUGCUCAAUUCAACUGAGAUAAUUCGUUUGACUCCACAGGAGGAAUAUCUGAAGAUUCAAACACAUCCUCUGCAGGGUAUGUGAUUGUUGCCUAUCUCUGUGGUUGGCUUGCUUGGAAAUUGUUUUCUUGCUUUUAUGUCAUUGUUUUGUCGAUAUUUGGCUGAGUGCUAGUGUACUUUUAUUUUUCUUUUGUAGUUCAUAUCUUGAAUGCCAA